UUGGAGGGCAAGUCUGGUGCCAGCAGCCGCGGUAAUUCCAGCUCCAAUAGCGUAUAUUAAAGUUGUUGCAGUUAAAAAGCUCGUAGUUGAAUUUCGGGGUUCUUCCGUUGGUCAGGCUAACCAGUCUGUACUAGCGUGUAGAAUCUCUACCUUCUGGGGAACCAUCAUGUUAUUAAUUUAGCGUGGUGGGAAACCAGGACCUUUACCUUGAAAAAAUUAGAGUGUUCAAAGCAGGCUUACGUCUGAAUACAUUAGCAUGGAAUAAUAAAAUAGGACGGUGGUCCUGUUUUGUUGGUUUCUGAAUCACCGUAAUGAUUAAUAGGGAUAGUUGGGGGCAUUAGUAUUCAAUUGUCAGAGGUGAAAUUCUUGGAUUUAUUGAAGACUAACUUCUGCGAAAGCAUUUGCCAAGGAUGUUUUCAUUAAUCAAGAACGAAAGUUAGGGGAUCGAAGACGAUCAGAUACCGUCGUAGUCUUAACCAUAAACUAUGCCGACUAGGGAUCGGACGAUGUUAAAUUUUAUUGACUCGUUCGGCGCCUUACAGGAAAC
rnacentral:rRNA from 1 species